rnacentral:rRNA from 1 species
GGGUUGUGAGGUUAAGCGACUAAGCGUACACGGUGGAUGCCCUGGCAGUCAGAGGCGAUGAAGGACGUGCUAAUCUGCGAAAAGCGCCGGCGAGGUGAUAUGAACCCUUGACCCGGCGAUGUCCGAAUGGGGAAACCCAGUGUGUUUCGACACACUAUCGUUAACUGAAUACAUAGGUUAACGAGGCGAACCGGGGGAACUGAAACAUCUAAGUACCCCGAGGAAAAGAAAUCAACCGAGAUUCCCCCAGUAGCGGCGAGCGAACGGGGAGCAG